GUUUCAGCAGACCUGCAGUUUUCUGGGAGUUUGUUCCAGAUAUAAGGAGCAUAGAAACUGAACGCUGCUUCUCCAUGUUUGGUUCUGACUCUGGGAACAGAGAGCAGACCUGUCCCAGACGACCUGAGCGGUCUGGAUGGUUCGUAGUUAAUCAGGAGGUUAAACAGAAGAGGCCCCAGGAUGGAACCUUGGGGAACUCCACAAGUAAUUUUUGUUUGCUCAGAUUUGAAGUUACCUAUAGACACGAAGAAGUCCCUGUCCUUUAAGUAGGAUUCAAAACAGUUUAGUACUGUGCCAGAAACUCCCACCAAGUUUUCCAGUCGGUCGAGUAAUAUAUUGUGGUCAACUGUGUCGAACGCAGCACUGAGAUCAAGUAAAACUAAGACUGAGGUUCUGCCACUGUCUGUGUUUAAACGGAUGUCAUUAAACUCUUUAACCAGA